rnacentral:lncRNA from 1 species
AUACGACUGGAAAUUGGGAUAUGAAGAGGGAAUGUCUUGAGAAGGGUAGUGCUGUGGCAAGUGCGAUUGGGGUUGUUGCAAGUAAGGUUGAUGCUGAUACAACUGAGAGUAAGAAGAAUUUUCGUGUCUGCUAGCCGGCGGAGGUUGCGGGAAAUUAUGAGAAGAAUGAUCUUCAUUAGAAGGAUAAUCACCACUAGAAUAUGAAGGAUGAGACGGAGGAGCAUGUGAAGGAGGUGGUGGAGGGAUGGACGGCGGAGGUGACUGACUGUUUGCAGUAUACUGUACAUUGUCAUAUAAUUGAGGGGAAGAAUCUGAUUCUGGCGCA